rnacentral:rRNA from 1 species
GUCGAGAAUCUUCCGCAAUGCGCGAAAGCGUGACGGAGCGACACCGCGUGAUGGAUGAAGUCCUUCGGGGCGUAAACAUCUUUUAUAAAGGAGGAAAUUUUUGACGUUACUUUAUGAAUAAGGGGCUCCCAAUCUCGUGCCAGCAGGAGCGGCAAUACGAGAGCCUCAAGCGUUAUCCGGAAUCAUUGGGCGUAAAGGGUGCGUAGGUGGUUUGAUUAGUCUCCCGUUAAAACUUCGAGCUUAACUCGAAAAGAGCGGGGGAAACGGUCAAACUAGAGUAUGUGAGAGGUGUGUGGAACUCAUGGUGUAGGAGUGAAAUCCGUUGAUAUCAUGGGGAACACCAAAAGCGAAGGCAGCACACUGGCACAUCACUGACACUGAGGCACGAAACCUAAGGUAGCGAAUGGGAUUAGAAACCCGAGUAGUCC